rnacentral:misc_RNA from 1 species
GGAAGGAUCAUUACCACACCGUUUGGGAAUGGGGAGGAGUCGGGAUGGACAUUAGUCUCUUCUCUCUCUCUCUGUUUUCAAAACACAUCUACCCCUUUGCGAACUUUGUGAUGUAUUUUCUUAACUCAGUGUUGUAGUUUGUUCUUUCUCUUCAAACUUCUUGUUUGAACCGAACGGCGGCUUACUACAUAACUACCCAACUCCAAACACCACUUACAAAUUGACAACCAAGAUUGAUCUCUUCUGAAACCGAAAGUGUGUUGUGUGUUUGCCUCCUUUUCAAGGGGCCGCCAAUGCCGUUUUUUGUAUAACAAAACUUUAAACAACUUUCAGCGAUGGAUAUCUUGGCUCUCGCAACGAUGAAAGAACGCAGCGAAAUGCGAUUACGUAAUGCGAAUUGCAGAAUUCAGUGAAUCAUCAAAACUUUGAACGCAAAUUGCGCUUCCGGGUAUCCCUGGGAGCAUGCCUGUAUGAGUGUCUGUUGACACCACUCACGUCUUCUCUUUGUCCUUGUCUACUUUCCUUUUGUUCUUACAGAAGGAAGGAAGGAGGAGAGAGCGGAAGGUGUGGAAUUUAUGAGAAGUCCUAGUGCCUUUUGUGGUGCUAUGUCUCUUCAAGUCAUCUGGCCAUUUAGAGUGUGUUGGCUUUUCUCCUCUUCUUCUUCUUGUCCUCUUUUGGAUCGAGUCGGCUAGGCUGUCUUUCGGCUGAGGCUGCUUGUUCGGACAAGCGUGGUAGUUGUGUCGCCUCGUGCUUCGCAUCCCUAACGCUGUGCCUCGUCAAGCUCCUUGGUAUCUAACGAAUGCUUUUGUCCUGGUCGUCCUCGGAAGGAUGUAAGAGUAGGAAUCUCAAAACCCAACCACCCUAUCCUAUGGACCUUACCCCUCCAAAGAGUCGUCUUCACGCUGUUGCUGUAAGAUCGAACGAUGUUCUUUUCUGAAGUUACAUCUGCCUUUCAAACAGAGCAGCUCCUGACGAAGAAAAGGUGCUCAGUCCUUCUCUGUUCUUUCAUUAGAAGAUAGAAAGCAAGCACUCUUUCCUCUUUGGACCUCAUAUCAGGCAAGAGGACCCGCUGAAUUUAAGCAUAUAACUAAGCGGAGGAAAAGAAACUAACCAGGAUUCCCCUAGUAACGGCGAGUGAAGCGGGAAAAGCUCAACUUGAAAAUCCGUGUAGCCCCGCUGCACUGAAUUGUAGUCUAUCGAAGCUGUUGUCAGUGACCCUCCCGGGAGAAGUCUCUUGGAACAGGGCAUCAUAGAGGGUGAGAAUCCCGUCUGUGCCCGGGAAGUUGGCCACGUACGACACGCUUUCAACGAGUCGAGUUGCUUGGGACUGCAGCUCAAAAUGGGUGGUAAAUUCCAUCUAAGGCUAAAUACUGGCGAGAGACCGAUAGCGAACAAGUACCGUGAGGGAAAGAUGCAAAGAACUUUGAAAAGAGAGUUAAAAGUACUUGAAAUUGCUGAAAGGGAAGCGAAUCAAACCAGUGUUGAUGCGCCGUCAUCUUCAGUGAUGUCCUUGCUUGGGUUUGCGUGUCGGAGAGGGUUCACCUCCCUCCGCUGCUUUCUUCUUUUGUAAGGUCAUCGCUGCGCUGUGACGGCGCGUAGCUCAGCAUCAGUUCAUGUUCCGCGAGAUAUCGUCAUCAGGGAGGUAGAGUAUGGUCUUGUACUAUACUUGUUAUAUCCUGUUGUCGGCGUCGUGGAUAGGACUGAGGUCUAUACAUCACAGUGUACGCCUCUUUUGGCUGGGUGCGGUGUUGCUCUGUUCCAGGUACUCGAUUGGACUGCUCGUCAGUGCUGUUUGGUACUCCUGUGGAUACUGUGAUCCGUCGCCCAUGUACACUCGGAUGCUGAGGAAAUGGUUUGAUCCGGCCCGUCUGAAACACGGACCAAGGAGUCUAACAUCUAUGCGAGUAUUCGGGUGGCAAACCCUUGUGCGCAAUGAAAGUGAAGGUUGAUGUAGGUCAACUGAGGUAGGACGGGUGGUCUAACUUGUUAGGUUGCCCCGCACUAUCGACCGGCCAUGAUCCUCUGGAAAAAGGUCUGAGUGUGAGCAUAUAUGUUGGGACCCGAAAGAUGGUGAACUAUGCCUGAAUAGGGUGAAGCCAGGGGAAACUCUGGUGGAGGCUCGUAGCGAUUCUGACGUGCAAAUCGAUCGUCAAAUUUGGGUAUAGGGGCGAAAGACUAAUCGAACCAUCUAGUAGCUGGUUCCCUC